rnacentral:misc_RNA from 1 species
GUUUCCAAGUACAAUUUGUCCCUGCAGCUGCGAAACCUCAUAAGUGGAUAAAUGAAUGGGCAAAGAAUCAACACCCAGAUGCUGUGGCAGCGGCGGCGCGUGAUAAAACGAGUGGGAGUAUUUGAGAGGAUGGGAAAUCCUUAAAAAUCAUAAAAUCUUCAAACACUCACUCUCAGUAUAAGACCCCCAAAUUCCGGAAAAAAAAAAAGCACUUAUUGCCAUUAAAAUCAUAAGAGAAGCAUCAGCAACAGUACCCAUAAUAAAAGCUGGAAGGAAGAAAACAAGAUCCACCUCGAACCUAUCUCCAUCCUACCCCUCCUUCUCCAAAUCUCACCGGCACGGCGUCACCACCGCCUCCGCCACUCCUCAAAUUGAUUCAAGCUCUAGAUUGAGGGAGAGAGUGCGUGAGUGAUAUCUUUCUUUUUCAAAAAAGAAAAGAAAAAAUUUCAUAUUUGUGUCUCUUGUUUGUUUUCCUGUGGAUUUUGUUGUUAGUUAUUAGUCCAUUUGAAUACCCAAAUCCCUGAAAUCUUUGUUCUCUGAAGGAGAAUAAGGAAAGUAGUGGGUUGGGUUUUGGGUCAAUUUUUAGCUAAAUAAGGAAAUGAGGGAAGAUGAUUCUAAUUGGUUUUCAAGAUGGGAGGAAGAGCUCCCAUCACCUGAAGAGCUUAUGCCCAUAUCCCAAACCCUAAUUACUCCUGAUCUUGCCCUUGCUUUUGACAUCCGUAAUCCUACUAACAACGCCACCGCCAACACCACCUCUCUUAUGCAACAAAAUCAGCCCCCCCCUCCUCCGCCACCCACUACCACCACUCCAUCCCCCAAUAACCCCUUGCCACCUUCCCAACCUAAUUCCGCUGAAUACGCUGCCGAUUCUGCUGACUUGGGUUCUGGGGCUGCUGGUGAUGAGCCUGCUAGAACCCUUAAGCGGCCCCGACUCGUUUGGACCCCCCAGCUUCAUAAAAGGUUUGUGGACGCUGUUGCACACUUGGGGAUAAAAAAUGCCGUUCCCAAGACUAUAAUGCAGCUCAUGAGCGUAGAUGGUUUAACUAGAGAGAACGUAGCUAGUCACUUGCAGAAGUAUAGGUUAUAUUUGAAAAGGAUGCAGGGGUUGUCAUCUGGUGGUGCUGGUGGUGUUAAUGGUACUGGUGGUGGCGGGGGAGGUGGAUUGGCUGCAGGCUCCGAUGCAGCAACUGAGCAUUUAUUUGCGAGUUCUCCGGUGCCUGCGCAUUUCUUGCACCCAGGGAGGCCUAAUUCAGACCAUUUCUUGCCGUUUGUACCAGUGGCAGCACUGCAACAUCAUCAUCACCAGCAGCAGAUGGCAGCAGCCGCCGCUGCAGUGGCGCAUCCCCAGUUGCAGAGUCAGUAUCAAAGGCAGAUGGGGCACUUUGGCCAACCUCCAAAUGGGCAGUUUGAGCAUACCUUUCUGGCUAGGCAGACACAGCAGCCAGUGCAUAGGAUGGGGGCGCCAGUGCAUAAUUCAGUUCCAGGAUUUGCGGAAGAUUUGGAGUCAGCGAGUGGGAAUGGCGGAAGAAAGGUUCUCACUCUGUUUCCUACAGGAGAUGAUUAAAUUUGGGUAAUUGUUGACUCCUUAAUUAAUAUUUGAUUUUUUUUUCUACGUUUAUUUAGCUAUUGGGUUCAUGUUAAAUUGGUGUUUACUGGUAGUUCUCUCAGAUUUUAAUUUAGGGUCUUGAUUGUGAUGGUUGUGUUAGUUGUUGUUGUUGGUAAUCUUCAGGGUAGAAAUUGGCUUUGGCCUUCCAAUUCCAGAUCCAAAAAUUUCUGAUGUUGCUCUUGGGUAUAUUUUGAGUGAUUGGGAUUGAUGGGUAGUGUCAUUUAUGGUGUUCUUCAAUUCCUAUGGGCCCCUACUCGUGUAAUUAAGUUGUUGGUAGCAGUCCCUAUUUCCCAUGUAAUCUUCUGGUGAUGUAUAUUGAUAGUGAGGUCAUUCUGGGCAGAGACAAUCUGUCUUAGUGUCCAUGGCAGCUACUGUUAUCAGUCUUACCAUAUUUGGUUAAUCUGGAUUUUGUAGAGGGUUUGCAAUAUCCCAGCAUAUAUUGGGAUUCGGCUCAGUGUUCUUAUAUUUUAGAGUCUUCUUCCUAUGGAGGUUUAAUUGUCAGUGUUCAUGAUGGGGCAAUUGGAGCAUCAAUUAUCUGAAUUUGUGCUUGCAGAUGAGGAUAAAUAAUGCUGGCAAGUGCAAUAUAUGUUCUGUAGGAUCUAAUUAUGGGGUUGGUAUCUUUGGUUGGCACAUUUGGCACUGAGUCUCUCAGCAAGGUCCAAAAUCUCUUAUGUAUUUGAGUCUCUCUUUUGUUUAUUAGAUGAUGUUAUGUAGAGGUGACUUGUACUUGUACAUUGUGUGACUUCAUAGAAGACUAGAGCCCAAUGUGAGGGGUUUAAAAAAUCCUGAUGUUAUUAUUAAACUGUUAAAUUUAAUUUAAUGCUCCGUGAAAGUUUAAGUAGCUUUAUUUUCCCAUAUAGCCAUGAAAUUAUCAUUGUUGCUUUUUUGGAAUAUGCAUUUCAUGUUGCAUAGAUAAUCAUUUAAAAGCUGCAAUCAUAUAUGAACCAAGGUCUCUUCUUUAUUUUAUAAGAUAUUUAGUCACAUUUUCUCUUGUUGUUGAAGCUUGAGCAGAACAAAACAAGUGGUAUGUUGAGAAUAACUCAACCAGAAUUCUUUUUUCCUGUUUCCAUUUGAAAUGUGAAAGAAACUUGAAAAGAGAUGAAAUGGAGGAUAUUGGUGGAGCAAUGCGUUACAUACCUUAAUGAUUAAUUUGGAAAAUUUGAAAUGUUCAAACUGUGGGGUUAGAGUCACUGUUGUAAGACUUAAAAUGCUUAAUGAUUAUGUGUAUAUCUUGGAAUUUUUUUUUCAUUUUUUUGAGUUUUGUAGUAUCUGAAAUUUGGGAGAUGGGUUUUUAUUUCAGUUUAUAAUUUGCUAAAAUUUGUCAUAUAUUAUUUAUGCUUAGCAUGCACCUUUCAUUUCCAUCACAUGGUUCCUUAUUCGUUUAUCCUUUGUAAUGAAUUGGAUUGAAUCAGCUUUUAGGAUUAAAUAAUGUUUAUCAGAAACCACAUGAGGUAUUUUCCUUUUGAGAAUGUCAUGCUGAUUUCAACCAAAUCAUGCUCUGUUUCACAUGUCCCAGCAUUGUUCAUCGUGGAUUUGAUCUAAAUCAUGUUAGAAUUGAGUUGGGUAAGUUCUUUCAUAUUUUUUUACUCAUUGUUUUGAGAAUGUGAAUUGUUUACCAAGUCCUAUUAAAUGAUCCAUAAUAGAAUUGAUUGGCCUCUGGGGAUUUUGGUUGGACCAUAAGGAGUUCCUAUAAAUUUCAUAGAUGAAAUAUAGGACUUUUUUGGAUCCAGUUGACACUUUAGUUGGAUGAAGGGUUUGUCUGUUUCUAAUGUCGAGGUUGAGUGUACGGUCAGAAAUAAAUCCUCUUUAAGCGUCGUGCCAGAUGAGAAAUUCACACAAUAAGCAGUGGAAGUAUAGAACUGCACACUGAUUUCAUUUCAAUCUAAAUAUUAAAACCAAAAGUACAUCCAAUUUUGAGAAAUUGUCACCGACUUGUUAUCUAUUUGAGGCUGCGGGAAUUGUUUUUCAACAUUGAGUUUUGCCUACAAGUUAAAUUCUUUUUGUUAGAGCCGUUUUAUUGUUUGCUAUGAGGUGUUUAUAUUUUUGGGCUUGCUAUCAAUUUCUAUAAGGUUUUUUGAAUUGUGGUUGGCGAGUGUUUCUCGAAACUUUGAAUGAUACUGAAUGUCUAGUUGUUAAUGAAACAGAAAUGACCUCUGGAGAAUCACGAAGUAAGAUGUUGCAACAUUUAAGUGCUCUCUUUUUUCUACACUUAUUACUCUUCUCAUGAUUGUUUUAUUUAAAAGAUGCAUUUGAGUUAUAAUGGUUUUGUACUCAUCUUUCUUCUAAGAUUGAAUUGGCUUCUUUCUUUCAAAGUUGGUUGCACAUCGGUUAUUGCAUUUCAUUGUCACAGCAAAUUAGCAGAUCAGAAUUUUGGAUCUGAUAUCAAAUAGGAGCCUUAUUUCUUUUGUGAACAUUAUUAUGUCCUGCAUCAUCAUACUAUAGCACAAGGUUUCCAUUGUUUACGGCUAGUAUUACUGGGGUUUUGGAAUCCUAUUGCCUCCCCUAGGUUUUGUAGAGGUGCGUCUAGCUCACCUAAACAAGAAACUCUGAAGCAUUAUCCUAAUCCUAGAAGCAGAUGCAAUGGAAUCUUGUUCAUGUUAGGAAACAUAUGGGAUAUUAUUGAGAACAGGAAAAUUAAUGACAAGAAUAAAAGAUGUGUUUGUUUAGUAAUUGAUUUAAUGGGUAUUGUUUAUUUAAUAAGACUAGAUUCAUGAUUAAGGGCAGCUAAGCAUGCUUCUUAUUUGGUUUACCACGAUUUGUUUAUUAUGGCACGUUGACAGUUUUGAGCAAAGUUUUUUUGAAUAAAUUACACUUUAUUUGUCAUUGAAGUUUGUUCAGCUUUGAGCAAAAACAUGGCCUGGCCACGUGGGCAAUCUGGUGAUUUGUGUCACGCGCACACCAUCUUCUUCACUAGCUCAUUAUUUAUUUUUUUU